rfam:Rhizobium sp. PDO1-076 strain PDO-076 ctg25, whole genome shotgun sequence.
UGAAAUAUACCUGUCAUCAGCAAACGUUGAUUAAGCGUUUUCCGAUUUGCCAGUUCUCCCGGCGCGUCCUGGUGCCACAGGUGUUUCCUCCCUCGCCUGCUUGGCGAUGCGCCCCCUUGCCCCGCUCCUCGCUCCGCGAGAGCGGGGCUUUUU